rnacentral:lncRNA from 1 species
GACAUUUAGUAGCAGCUCUGUUAUAGGUCAGAGAACACAUACUGUGGUACAAAAUGCCACGUGAUUCUAGAACGCAGCGAUUGUGAAUUCCGGGUAAGUAGGUCAGAUGUGACCCUGUUUUUAUCAUGUUAUUAAUCCUUGUGGGAAGACAAAAUACGAAGAAAAUACAUAACCUCAGCAGCUUUUAAGCAGGCCUAGAGAAUUCAAUCUCCCUCUCUGCAAGGAUGCAUUAAAAAUCAAAAAACAACUUUUAGCCCUUACACUGGGAUAGGGCAAGCAAUGUACUCCAUGCUCCCGUGGGACUCAGUGUAAAAUAUAUAGUAUAAAAAUGUUUUGUUUUUUUUUAAAUUAAUUUUAUUUUUUUAAAGGGGUGAAGUAUGAUAAUUUUAAAAAACAUAAUUGUUUUAUCGUUCUGUUUUGAAUAAUGCUAGAUGUAUGUUUUUUGCAAAAAAAUAAUAAAAAAUACUAAAUGUAAUCCGCCGCACCAUUAAUGCACUUCAUAUUCUUUUACUUCCCAUAAAAAGUGUAGAGUUUUUUUAUUCAUCUAUAUUAUAAUUCCAUGAGAAGGCAUGCACGAGGCAUUAUAUUUAGACUUCUAAUAUGUAGUUCUCCACUCAUUGACAAACUCGCACAUUUCCUUUUUGGGAUAAUGGAUGAGCAUCAUGGGAGUUUUAGUUGCACCAUUGCUGUUAAAGGUUAUUAGGUCAAUCUCAAGUUGCAGCCUAGAGUAAUUAUAUGUAGCAUUGCAAAUUCAUGCAAAUGUUAAUACAGGUCAUUUCAUUAAGCCACUAUUUUUCAUAUCUAGUAGCAGGGACUUUAUCUAGAUUUGAGCUCCUGGCAUGUGUACAAACUGCGACUAGUCACUGACUGUAAAAUGCGGGUUUGCUUGCUAUAUGCUAUAGAAUGUAAGCUCGAUUGAGCAGGGUCCUCUUCAACCUAUUGUUCCCGUAAGUUUUUUGUAAUUGUCCUAUUUAUAGUUACAUCCCCCCUCUCAUAAUAUUGUAAAGUGCUACGGAAUCUGUUGGCGCUAUAUAAAUGGCAAUAAUAAUAAUAUGCCCACUGCUACUUUACUUUGGAAUGUGCAUAUCCAAUACUUUAUCAAUGCCUGCCAAUUUGUUUUCUUGGGCUUAGGACACCCUCUAAGCAGGACAAAAUAUUACCUAGUGCUAACAGUAUUUGUCUGAAGUACUGGUGCAUAACCGUAAAAUCCCUGUCAUUGGAAUCUGCAUCAGGCUCCACAGAAACAAUAUAGUGUCAGGAAUGCAGACAUAUAUUCCUGACACUAUAGUGCUGGGGUCAGUGGUGAAUCCUGGUUUUGUGCUGCCGUAGCCUCCUUACCUUUAGGAAUGCUGGGGGGGUUUCUCCAUCUCCCUGGAUGUCUAGUCGGGCUGCUGGGCGUUCGGUCAGUUGGGCGGCGCUGGCAAAGAAGCACUUUCCCCUGAGCUCUCUGCUCAGCUCCCUAGCGCGCCGCAGAGUGAUGCCGGGAGCCGGAAUGUGACGUCUGCCUGGCUUGUCAGUUAACCGCAAGGCUAACAAGACAUUUGCCCUGGGCAUUUGGGGGCGGCUUUUUUUGCCGCCCCCAGGAAAAUGCCGCCCAAGGCAAAUGCCUUGUUUGCCUCGCGGCUAAUACGUCCCUGGCUGGGGUGGCAGUUUAGGUCCCUAGCCCUCUUCUCUGUGGAGUGAAAAGGUAUUUUGUCCCGCACCGUUCUCGCUGCAGCAGGCCCUACCUCCAUUGCUGAGAUCAUCAAACUUGAUGAUCUCAGCCAGUCGAAUGCUUUUAAGGCUCCUGCGCAUGUGCAGCAAAACUCUGUGCUGUGCCAAUCAGCAUCUCCUCAUAAAGAUGUAUUGAUUUAUGGGGAACGUUCAGGGUCUUCAUGCAGAGUGUGGUGAUUCUGUACAUCCAUGCUGCACACGGUACAGCACUGAACUAGGAGUCACCUUUAUUGUCCAUCUGAGUGACUGCCACUAGGGGCGUUACUAGGCUGCAAUGUAAACACUACCUGUUCUCUGCAUGGACUGGCUAUACAUACCAGAACCAUUACAUUAAGUUAUAGUUAUUCUCAUGACUAUAGUGUCCCUUUACGGGGAAAUGUAUGUCCCUCCAUCCUUUUUCGUGUAUUGUAAGGGAAUGAAAGAUCUACAUCUCUUGAUCUAUGUCUCUCACGACACAAACCUCUGUAGUGUUUAAAGGCUAUUAUAGCUGGGAAGAAAGGGGGCCUUUUCCUGAAGAGGGGAGAUUGUUGACUCUAGCUGGGGAAGCAGGACAAAGAACCUUAAAAAGAUGGAGAGGAAUAUUAAAAAAUAUAUUGAGGUAAUAUAAAAACUGCUUAUUAUAUGACUUGUUUAUAGCACUGAUUGGGCAAUUUGCAAUGUGUGCACACAGCAUUAAACCUUUCCUUUAUUUAUGUUUUGACGUUUAACUGUGUAACUGUAUAAUUUAAUUUGACGUGUUAAUCACUGGAUAUUCUAGAAGCAAUAUAGAAGCGUUUUUAUAUAGUAUUGUGUUUUACUAUAUUCUCAUUAAAACCAGCACACUAUUUUUAUACUUUCUUUUUAUUGCGCUGUUUUAAGGAGAGACUGGCCUUAGUGGUUGCAGCUGUCUUAUAUAAUGUUCGCAUAGUUUCUAUUUCAAGAGCUAUAAUUUCGCAUUUUGUCACGUAGACCGUUUUCUAUAGAUAAUUAUGUGUGUGUACACUUUGUAUAAUUAGUAAUUUUGAAGUACAAUUUAUAGUACUUUUAGUUGAGUGUAUAAAAGAAAGAAUUGUGGUGACAGGGAAAUGUCAGGGAGACAUUACAGCAGCCAUGCUCCCAGCAGAACUUGGUAAUGUUACGAAACGCAAGUGGACAACUGCUGUGUCCUCUACAUUUAAAUGUCAGUGAAUGGAAAAAUAUGUUAUCUGAUGGAAUUAUUCUGUCCAUAACUAUGUGAGUAUUAAUAGCAUGGAAGGGAAUUAACUCUGUAAAAGUCGCCUUUGGGAGAAAGUCACUUACUGUUAUCCAUUAAGAGCCCUUACAACCAGUUAAAACAUGUGUCAACCACUUCCUAUUCGUACAUAGAAAAAACAAGAAAGAAACAAAACCUAGUCAAUUAGUCAAUAGUGAGAUAAAAUGAUAUAAAACCAUGUUUCAAAACCUCCAUUCACAUCUCUACAAAGUCCAUGCUAACCUCGUCUGCUUGCGUAAUACUCAAAGGGUUGUUCAAUAAAGUGUGAAUGUACAGGAAUUCAAAUUAUAGGCCAACAUUGCUGCACUGCAUCUCUGCUAUAUUAGUGAAUGUUUAGUGUAAGUCAGAUAUGUUCUAUCUGCUAUAGCAGUCAAACAAGCAGACCAAAAUCCCUAAAUACAAUAUUAUAAUGAGUCUUUUUUUGCUUUUUUUUAUAGUCUGUUAUAGAAAACAAUAAACUGAGGAGAAAGAUAGAUUGUAUGUAAAGCUCUUCUUUAAGAAUCAUGACUAAUUCAGUGUUUUGAAGUGGUUGUGGUGUACGGACCCUGUAUGUGUAGAGGUUUAAUAUGCUUAUGUGUAUUCUGUAUUUGCGGUGCUGCUGAACAAAAAGACCUCUGAUAAUUGAAGGUCUUAAAGGGACCCUAAAGGCACCCAGACCACUUUCUCGCAUUGAAGUGUUCUGGGUGCAGUGUCCCUGUCCCCUUAACCCAGCAAUUGUAAUUAUUGCAUUUUGUGAUAAUUUGCAAUAAUUACCUUGCAGGGUAAUCUUCAUAACAACCUUAAUAAAACGAGGCUCCUAACAUCUAAUCGUAGAAAUCAAACAUUCUAUAGGGAAAGUAUGUACUCUGUACACUAAAACAAUGUAAAAUAGGGCAAAUUAGAUGUAUUUAAUAAGGUUUUAUUGUGAUGAAAUGGCAAGUAAGAGGUACACAAUAAAGUGCAAUCAGCACACGAAAAAAGCGCGGUAACAGUUUGUACAUAAGUCCUGAAAAAAAAAUCUAACAAUCUAGCACUAAACCAAUUAGCAUUCAAGGUAGCUACAUGUUCAAACAUAAAAUGUGUAGUGUUAGGAUAUGUUUCCUGGCACAAUAGUCUAGUGCUGAAAGCUUAAAAAAUUUAGUGUUGGUCUAUUUUCCCUGGUUCAAAGGAUUAGUGAGGGAGAUGAUAUGUACUAUUAACUACACAGAGAAAAUUUGUGCAUACAUCCUGAAAAGAAAAUGCAAGGAUCUAGGUAUCCCACUGUGAUGCCAAUCGUUUAGGGACCUGCAAGUCCUAACAAUGCCUAACUGAAAAUGUUUUAUUUUGAAUAAUAAAAAGAAAGUUACAAAAAAAUAAAUAAAAGGUCUACUGGAAGUACAUAUGUUUCGAUUCUAUACAUGUUAGCACAAUUUUUCAGCCCCCAAAAAACAGAAUGCUAGUUGACUGUUGUGGUAUAGUUGUAAUCAAAAUGAUUCAACACGGGGGGCGAGGCCUGUUUUGAUAGAGCUCCUCUCCUCUACUGACAAAAAAGCUGAUUUUAGCCUUAAUAAGCUAGAUUUGGCUGACAUCCUGCAACUUACAUGCUCCUUGCCCAAGCUGACAAUCCCUGCAGGGGUCAAAAACUCAACAAAAGCUCAUCUGUUACACAACCUGGAUCAUGCAGCCUAGAGCGCACCGGGUGGGUGAGGCCUGCAGUUGCAGAACGGCAUUCAGCACUAUACCGGUGCCCUGUAAUCCCCCCCCCUCGAUCCCGGUCCACCUCUGGGAGGCUGUCUUGCUAAAAAAGGAACAAUGAGCAAAACCACGUUGGCUGAAGCUACAUUUUCCGACACCUCUAAGAUGGUGUACGCCGCGUGGUUCCCGACAACACAAGGGACAAGCAAGAUUUCAUGUGCAGACUGGACAGAACAUUCACUAAAUUCUGGCGCAAACUGGAGCUGAGGAUGCAGCAACCUUUACCCAAACAACAGAGUGCUACUCACCACAAGAGCAGAAUCCUACCUUGAAACGGCAGACCCUAGUUCCAACAGCGCAAAAAGCCCCAACAUGGCGGCGAACCGGGAAACACACAACACUCCAGCAGAGAGCUGCACACAAGCGGGCACCAACACAGCCCAGCACUGAGACUCACCUGAUCGUGACAUAUAGUGCAGACAUCCAGCACACACCGAAGCUCGGAAGCCUGUCUCUCCACUCACCGGAGCGAGACUCUGCUAAACAACCAGUUGGCAUAGGCUAACUGCAGAGAUCCAGCCUGCACACGGAAGAGCAUGUGGUCCUUCAUAACACCCCUUUACCAUUGAGUUUUGAAUGGGAUACUGGCUACACUAUUCGUUACAUGUGCAUUCAUCUACUAUUACUUUAUGUCAUUCUCUCUGGUUUCUCCUCUGCUUGUACAAUAAUCACCCCUCUACACCUUACUCUGUGCAAAAAGAUUGGUGCCUCCCUUUAUGUUGUUCUUUUCUGUUAAGCCUGUAUAUUUCUUUAUGAAAAAAAGAAAAAGAAAGCAAAAUCACUUAUACUGAUAUGUUAUUCUUUUUACUCAUGCAACCUGUCAUAUGUCAUUGCUUCAACAUGUAUCUGACAAUCUGCUCCAAAAAUAAAGAAUGUAAAAAGCAUUAAAACAUUUUUUUUUAAAUUGACAACCCCCAUUGAAAAUCAGGUUUAUUGUCAAAAUGUACAGACUUUCAGUUGUUUGUAAUAAACAAAUAAAACAAAAGCAAUUGAAAUAGCUCAACACAACAAAUGCUUCAAUUGGUUUCAUGACUUCUCCAGGCUCAAAAUGAUUCAACCUCCUGAAUAGAAUCCCUCACAACAGCACACAUAUGUAAAAGAGGCGUUGUCUCAAGCACACCCGAUGCAACUAAUCAAGGGCUUCUUUAGUUGCACCAGUUGUGCUUGAGCUGGAACACAUGUAAUACCUGAACUGGCUAAGGGUUUGUCAAGUGUCACAUUUGACUGCAUGUUAGAAAUAAGGCUAAGUCAAAAGAAUGGUUCACAAAGUUAAGUGAAGAGAUCAACGCGCUUCACAAACAAGGAACAGGAUACAAAAAGAUAGUGAAGGCACUGAGAGACACCGUUGGAAGCACAGUUCGCAACUUAAAAGUUGAAGGAACAGAGGUUACACUCAGCAAUGUAUUUACUGCAAGGCUAACAAGGCACUUGCUUUGGGCGGCACUUUCAAAGGGGCAGCAAAGAACGCCCCUCCCCCCAAAUGCCCAGGAAUAUGCCUUGUUAGCCUCGUUUUUAAUGGGGGGCACAAGAGCUGGCCGGCUAGCCAUCUUUGGGCCCCUGGGAGGGCAGCCAGUUGUGAAACAUGCAGUGAUGCUAGAAGCUGGAAUAUGACAUCACUCCAGCUCCCGACAUCACUAUGCGGUGUGUGAGGGAGCUGAGCAAGAAGAUCAUCUCUGCCUACUAUGUGCACCCACCCACUUGCUUGCCCAGCAGCUCCACUGGACCCCAUGUAAUUAUCCACCCAACUUUCUCUAAAGUAGGGAGGCUGGGUGGAUUUAAAUAAAACAAAACAAAAAAAACAAUAAUCUGUAAAUGAUGGGGGAGAGUGUGUGUGUCUGUCAGUGAGUUUGUUUCUGUCUGUCAGUGAAUGUGUGUGUGUAUAUCUGUAAUUGUGUGUGAGUGUGUGUCAGUGAAUGAAGGUGUGGGUGUGCGUGUCUGAGUGAUUGUGCGCAUCUGUCAGUGAGUGUAUGUCAGUGUGUGUCUGAGUGAUUGUGUCAAAUCAGUGAGUGUGUGUGUAUGUCAGUGUAUCUGAGAGUGUGUCCUUGUCCAUGAGUGGGUGUGUCAGUGUGUGUCUGUCAGUCAAAAUGUGUGUUAGUCUUUAACAAGAAGAGGUGUGACCUCGGCAGGAAUGGGUGGGACAAAUUUAAAUUAGGGGGUGCUGAGUUCUGUCAUGCUUAGGGCAGCACAAAUCGAAAAUACACCACUGGUUACACAACCUGGACAGGGCAGAAAAAGAAAGCUGUCAAUGGCUGCAACCAGAUUUCUGAGAAGGCAGGUUGUGAAAAACCCUUGAGGGACUGCAAACAACCUGCAUCAAGACUUCGUGGCAACAGGCACUGAGGUUUCAGUGAGCAGAGUAAGGCACGUACUAAACAGAGAAGGUUUUCAUGCCAGAACUCCAAGAUGUACACCGCUACUGAUCCAAAAGCACAAGAAAAGUAAUCUCCAAUAUGCUCAAAAUAAUAUAAAUAAGUAACAGAAGAUUUGGAAUUCUGUUCUGUGGAGCGAUGAAACAAAACUGGGAACUUUCGUCCCAAUGGAUGAAGAAUUAAGCAUACGCUGAAAAGAACACUCUGCCUACAGUUAAGCAUGGUGGUUGCUCAGUGAUGCUCUGGGGACUGCUUUUCAUCCUGCUGGCACUGGUAACCUGCAGCGUGUGGAAUGCAAGAUGGAUUAAUUGAAAUAUCAGGAAAUCCUAGGAGAAAAUGUCAUGCCGUCUAUGAGGAAGCUGAAACUUGGGCAUCAUUGACCCUUUCAACAAAAAAAUGAUCCCAAGCAAAUUCCACCAAGGCUUAGUUGCAGAAGAGGUCCUGGAAAAUUCUACAGUGGCCAUCACAGUAAACUGACUUGAACCCCAUAGAAAAUCUCUGGUGGGAUUUUAAAAAGGCAGUUGCAGCACAUAAACCCAAGAAUAUUAGUGAACUAGAGGCCAUAACCCAUGACCAAUGGACUAAGAUUUCUCAGGAACGCUGCCAGAAGCUGGUGUUUGGCUAUACAUCUAGUUUGCAACAGGUCAUAACAGCAAAAGGGUACUCUACUAAGUAAUAAAGAUGCUUGCCAUGAAGGAGUUGGAUAGUUUUGAGACUGGAGACGUGAUUCUAAGAUACAAUUUAAGUUGAAUUUGGGGAAGACACUUGAAGCAUUCAUCGUGUUGAUCUAUUUCAAUGGCUUUUGUUGAUUUAUUCAUUGCAAAUAGCUAAAAGUCUGUAAAUUUUCACAAUAAACCUGAUUUUCAAUGGGGGUUGAAUAAUUUUAAACACAACUGUAAAUUUAUCUCUAAGGUCAUGAGGAAAAAAAAAACAGUAACAAAAUAAGCAAAUAAAUGGAUAGCCUGUGCGAUAUCUCCGUCCCAUCUCCCUCCUGGGCAAGGGGUGUCAGACCUUGGGAGGGUUGGGUAUAAAACCCUGCAAAAAACAACCAAACUAAAAAUAGACCUGCUUUCAAAACAUAAAAAAUAAAAUUAAAAAGAGAGGGAAAAAAACAUCUAUGCAGGACCACACAUCGGAACAUGCAUUAAAGAAGGCCAGACAGUCCCCCAGGUACAUAGUGGGUAUAGUGAUGAUCAGGAGCAUGAUCCUCCAGCGGCAUACACUUCAGCAUAUUCAUAUGGACCUCCAAAUUCAUCGGGAGCGAAUUAUGCAGGUAAGCAUUAACAGGUCUCAGGUUCCCCUCCAAAGUCCCAGACAGCACAACCUCAGACAUUCUCCACAAGUUGAUGUAAUACACUUUGGGGAACCACCAGAGCCCUCGUCAUUUACCACUCUGUGCUGGCCACACAGCUAGUUCAGACAGGCCCCAGACAGCAGUUGGUCUUAUGAAAGAUGUUGGCUACAUAGUAAUAGCAGGACUUCAAGUCCUGUGCUACUAACCAGGUCUACUUAUGUUCACUUCCAAGCCAUAUAGUAGACAUGGUACAGUUUGGAAAGAAAUAUUGCAAGAUUUGAAGGACCAGUAAGAUCUUAUUUUGCAACAUAUAUUUCCUUGCCACCACAGGAAAAAUGAAAGAACGUUUCCUUUGUUCCUUCAGGAAGUGACAACUGUCACUCCAAGCCUGCCCCCAGGGCCCGCCUACAAAUCCCGCCCGCAGGAAUACACACAGACACACACAUAGAAAGAUACACACAUACUAACAGACACAAAUACUGAAACAGACACACACAUACAGGCAUACUGACACAAAAAUAUACAGACACACAUACAUACAUAAGGAGAUACAGACACACACACACACACACAAACAUACAUACUGACAUACAGACAUAUACAUACUGACAUACACACAUACUGACACACACACACACACAUAUACAUACAUACUGACACACAGACAUACAUACACAUAAAUACAUAAUGACAUACUGGCAUACACACAGACAUACUGACACACACACACAUACUGGCAUACAUACACACAUACACAUAUACAUACUGACAUACAGACACAUACAUACACAGUCACAGUCAGGACAGAUGUGCCUAUGGCUACAGAAAAAAUACAGAUAAUUCAGCAGUGCGAUUGCAGGGGCAUUGCACUAAAUCCACUUCACUAAAGGGACAGCUUAGGCAGCUUAAGGCACUAUUAUAACUUUAUCUAAAUUAAGGCCCCCAGACACUCCCUUCAGGGGUUAAACCAGUCUUAAACAUGUUAACCCUGAAGUGGCUUCCAGCGCCGAUCCCAACUCACCCCAAGGUGGCACCUGGCUUCUGAAAUGUUCAGUUUCAGUAAGUGCGGAGUGCCGCUGGACAGGAACACGGCUGAUUGAGUGAGAACGGUCAACUGAGGCUCUCAGCCAAUUAGUGACUCCACAUUCAUAAAACUGGCUUGGAAAGAAAUUUACCUUUUCCAAGCCAGUUUUGCGAAUGGGGAGUCAAUGAUUGGCUCACAGUGGUAAACUGACAUUCUUAGUCAAUCAGCGUCGGCCCUGCUCAGCGGCACUCUACGUUUCCUAAAACUGAAAUUUCAGAAGUCAGAUGCCGCCUUGGGGUGAGUUGAGAUCGGCAUUGGAGGCAACUUCGGGAUUAAACCAUUCGAGAAUUCCACCAAUAUAAAUGAGUAGUAAUAUACUGAAAGCUUACAAUACACUGCUUCUGCUACUAACUAUUAUUAAGUUUAUAAACGUUUAUUACAUACUUUUCAAAGUUUUUAUUUCUUUAUUUAUAUACGUGGUUCGUUUAUUUGUAUUAUUUUAAUAUAUUUGUAAAAGUGAUUGCUUGAUGGUUUAAAAAGUAAUUGUCAAGUAAUGAGUGUCCUUUUAAUUUGCCCAUGUGCUUUUGUCACUAAUGUAUGCAGGCAGCAGGGGUCCUCCUUAACUGACUCUGUUGGAUGCAGGAAGGUAUGAAGCCCAUGGAGCAACGCAGUGGGGGAGAGGGCCUUGACAGGGCCAGAGAGUGGGCAGGUGAAGUUAAGGUCAGGGUGUGUGGAAAAUUAAUAUUGGGUUUGGGCGGAGGAGAGUAGGGGUUUAAAUAAUGGCCAUUUUAGUGAAGUGGCCAUCUUAAUCAAAACCUCACUUACUUGUUACUUGUGGCAGGUCUGUGUGGUUUGUUUUUUCUCUUUCAGGU